UGGGGAAUAUUGGACAAUGGGCGCAAGCCUGAUCCAGCCAUGCCGCGUGAAUGAUGAAGGCCCUAGGGUUGUAAAGCUCUUUCACCGGUGAAGAUAAUGACGGUAACCGGAGAAGAAGCCCCGGCUAACUUCGUGCCAGCAGCCGCGGUAAUACGAAGGGGGCUAGCGUUGUUCGGAUUUACUGGGCGUAAAGCGCACGUAGGCGGACUAUUAAGUCAGGGGUGAAAUCCCGGGGCUCAACCCCGGAACUGCCUUUGAUACUGGUAGUCUUGAGUUCGAGAGAGGUGAGUGGAAUUCCGAGUGUAGAGGUGAAAUUCGUAGAUAUUCGGAGGAACACCAGUGGCGAAGGCGGCUCACUGGCUCGAUACUGACGCUGAGGUGCGAAAGCGUGGGGAGCAAACAGG
rnacentral:rRNA from 1 species